GUGGGGGAUAUUGCACAAUGGGGGGAACCCUGAUGCAGCAACGCCGCGUGAAGGAAGAAGGUCUUCGGAUCGUAAACUUUUGUCUUUGGGGACGAAUGAUGACGGUACCCAAGGAGGAAGCCACGGCUAACUACGUGCCAGCAGCCGCGGUAAUACGUAGGUGGCAAGCGUUGUCCGGAUUUACUGGGUGUAAAGGGCGUGUAGGCGGGGAAUCAAGUCAGAUGUGAAAUACCGGGGCUCAACUCCGGGGCUGCAUUUGAAACUGAUUUUCUUGAGUGCUGGAGAGGAAAGCGGAAUUCCUAGUGUAGCGGUGAAAUGCGUAGAUAUUAGGAGGAACACCAGUGGCGAAGGCGGCUUUCUGGACAGUAACUGACGCUGAGGCGCGAAAGCGUGGGGAGCAAACAGGAUUAGAAACCCUGGUAGUCC
rnacentral:rRNA from 1 species